rfam:Photobacterium marinum strain AK15 contig9, whole genome shotgun sequence.
GACAGAUAGUCGGGGUGCCGAAAGGCUGAGAUCGCAUGUUGCGAGACCCGUUGAACCUGAUUCAGUUAACACUGGCGUAGGGAACUAUGUGUCUUGCUAA